rnacentral:rRNA from 1 species
AUUGAACGCUGGCGGCAGGCCUAACACAUGCAAGUCGAGCGAGCGGCGGACGGGUGAGGAAUGUAUGGGGACUGCCCGUUAGAGGGGGAUAAAUACUGGAAACGGUAGAUCAUACCGCAUACUAUCGGAUAACCCAUAUGGGAUUAGCUAGUAGGUGGGGUAAUGGAUCACCUAGGCGACGAUCCCUAGCUGGUCUGAGAGGAGGAUCAGCCACACUGGAACUGAGCCACGGCCCAGACUCCUACGGAGGCAGCAGUGGGGAAUAUUGCACAAUGGGCGCAAGCCUGAUGCAGCCAUGCCGCGUGUAUGAAGAAGGCCCUAGGGUUGUAAAGUACUUUCAGUCGGGAGGCGUUACCGACAGAAGAAGCACCGGCUAACUCCGUGCCAGCAGCCGCGGUAAUAC